ensembl:lncRNA novel transcript
GGAGGCCACAAGACCAGAUGAGCCAGUUUAUUGAUCUGGGUGGUGCUAGCCGAUCCAUGAAGUGUAGGGUCUACAAAAUACGUCAAGCACUGAUCUUAGGUUCUACAAUAGUUAUGUUAUUCCCAGGAACAAUUUGAGGAGGUUCAGAAUCUUGCCACUUCCAGCUGCAUGACUCCUAAACCAUAAUUUCUAAUCCUGUAGCUAAUUUGUUAGUCCUUUAAAAAAAAAGCAGUCUAGCCCCCCAGGCAGGAAGGGUGUUUAUUUUGGGAAAGAGCUGUUAUUGUCUUUGUUUCAAAGCUAAACUAUAAACUAAGUUCCUCCCAAAGUUCAUUGGGCCCACACCCAAGAAUGAACAAGCACAACUUGAAGGUUUGAAAAUUAAAGAACAAGGAGAUGGCUGGCUAUUUAAGAAGGAAAGGCAGAGGCUGCAGAAAUUGAGCCUAACGGCUUAUCAGAUGGGAUGGAUAAUUCUU